CAGUAGCCACGGUAAUACGGAGGGGGCUAGCGUUGUUCGGAAUUACUGGGCGUAAAGCGCACGUAGGCGGCUUGGUAAGUUAGAGGUGAAAGCCCGGAGCUCAACUCCGGAAUUGCCUUUAAGACUGCCGAGCUAGUAGGUGAGAGAGGUAAGUGGAAUUCCGAGUGUAGAGGUGAAAUACGUAGAUAUUCGGAAGAACACCAGUGGCGAAGGCGGCUUACUGGCUCAUUCUAGACGCUGAGGUGCGAAAGCGUGGGGAGCAAACAGGAUUAGAUACCCCUGUAGUCCCUGUCUCUUAUAC
rnacentral:rRNA from 1 species